rnacentral:rRNA from 1 species
UACGUAGGGACCAAGCGUUGUUCGGAUUUACUGGGCGUAAAGGGCGCGUAGGCGGCGCGGUAAGUCACUUGUGAAAUCUCUGAGCUUAACUCAGAACGGCCAAGUGAUACUGCAGUGCUAGAGUGUGGAAGGGGCAAUCGGAAUUCUUGGUGUAGCGGUGAAAUUCGUAGAUAUUCGCAAGAACACCAGUGGCGAAGGCGGCUCACUGGCCCGAUACUGACGCUGAGGCACGAAAGCGUGGGGAGCAAACAGG